rnacentral:misc_RNA from 1 species
AAAAUAAUCCUACCCUUUGUGAAUUUUGUUUGUUUGAAUAAUUUUUUUUUUUAAAAAAUUAUUGGAGUCUUUCCCUUUAGAGUUUGCUUUUGAGUUUGUAAAAGAAUUCGAAAACAUCUAAAGGGGAUGGUCAAUAAUUUUUUUUGAAAAAGACAUUUUUUAAAAUUAAACUUUUUGUAUUCAUUUGUCUAAAAAUUAUUUUUAUAAUAUAAAAACAACUUUUGACAAUGGAUCUCUUGGUUCUCGCAACGAUGAAGAACGCAGCAAAAUGCGAUAAGUAGUGUGAAUUGCAGAAUACGUGAAUCAUCGAAUCUUUGAACGCAUAUUGCACUUUUUUAGUUUACUAAAAAAGUAUGUCUGUUUGAGUAUCAGUAAAAUAUUCUCAUAAAAAUCAUUGUAUUUUUAUGGUUAUGAGUGUUUUACAACGAUACAAGUUGUUUCACUUUAAAUUUUUUUUUAAUAUUGAAAUUUUUCUAAUUUUAAUAAUUAAAAUUGGAUCAAAUUUUCCCGUCAAAAGGAAUAACCUAAACAAUUUUAAAUGAUUAAUUUUAGCAAAAUUUUCGAAAAAAGGAAAAUUUUUAUUAAAAUAACUUGAUCUCAAAUCAGAUAAGAGUACCCGCUGAACUUAAGCAUAUCAAUAAGCGGAGGAAAAGAAACUAACAAGGAUUCCCUUAGUAACGGCGAGUGAAGCGGGAAGAGCUCAAAUUUGAAAUCUUCAAGGUUUUACCUUGACGAAUUGUAGUUUAAAGAAGUGUUUUCUGCUGAAGUUUUGGUAAAAGUUCUUUGGAAUAGGACAUCAUAGAGGGUGAGAAUCCCGUAUUUGACCAUUAUUUUCAGCUUUGUGAUACACUUUCAAAGAGUCGGAUUGCUUGGGAAUGCAGUCCAAAAUGGGUGGUAAAUUUCAUCUAAAGCUAAAUAUUGGCGAGAGACCGAUAGCGAACAAGUACCGUGAGGGAAAGAUGAAAAGAACUUUGAAAAGAGAGUUAAACAGUACGUGAAAUUGUCAAGAGGGAAGCGUUUGACACCAGUGUUGUUUUCUCGAAAAUCAAUUAAAAAUGGCUCGAUUUUGUAUUGCUGAGACCUUAAAAGCUCACUGUACAUUUUUCGUGUCUUUUUAAUGCACUUUUCGUUUAACAAGUCAACAUCAGUUUCUUUUGUUGUAAAAGGGUCAUUGGAAGGUGGCUUUCUUUUCGGAGAAAGUGUUUGUAGCCUUUGGCCUCUGCAAUCGGAGAGACUGAGGUCUGCAGCGUAGACUCUUCGGGGUUAGAUACAUUUGUGCUAAGUUAUAGCUUUUUAUAGACAACUUGUUGACUAUAAUUAGUCUUGUAGCUUACUCGCUUAUGCUAUUUUACCUACGCUUAGGAUG